UGGAUUAGCGGCGAACGGGUGAGGAACACGUGAAGAAUCUGCCCUCCACUUUGGGAUAACACCGGGAAACCGGUGCUAAUACCGAAUAUUGAAACAUAAGUGGCAUCACUGAGUUUUGAAAGAAUUUCGGUGGAGGAUGACUUCGCGGCCUAUCAGCUAGUUGGUGAGGUAAUGGCUCACCAAGGCAACGACGGGUAGCCGGCCUGAGAGGGCGACCGGCCACACUGGGACUGAGACACGGCCCAGACUCCUACGGGAGGCAGCAGUGGGGAAUAUUGGGCAAUGGAGGAAACUCUGACCCAGCGACGCCGCGUGCGGGAUGAAGGCCUUCGGGUUGUAAACCGCUUUCAGUAGGGAAGAAGCGAAAGUGACGGUACCUACAAAAGAAGCACCGGCUAACUAUGUGCCAGCAGCCGCGGUAAUACAUAGGGUGCAAGCGUUGUCCGGAAUUAUUGGGCGUAAAGAGCUCGUAGGUCGUUUGUUACGUCGGAUGUGAAAACCUG
rnacentral:rRNA from 1 species